rnacentral:rRNA from 1 species
AUGGACGGAAACAGGGCUUGGGCUGGCCUCGAUCUGCAGUUCUCCAGUGAGGAACGUGCAUUCUUCUUUGCGUCCACCUCCAUGGUCCUUGGCGAUGGUCGGCGAGCAUUGUUCUGGGAAGACCGAUGGAUCAACGGGCAAGCCAUCUCUGAGAUCGCCCCCCAGCUAUACGCCCUCAUCCCCAAGCGCCGCCGCAAAAUAAGAACAGUGGCCGAUGGCCUUCAGGCGCACACAUGGGCUUCAGACAUUCAUGGCGCCCUUGGCAUUCAAGAGAUUGGCCAAUACUUGCUAACCUGGAGGGCCAUUGAGAAUAUCACUCUCUCUGCUGAUCCAGACCAGCUCCAUUGGAAGUGGAAUGCUGCUGGCACAUACACCGCCCAGUCCGCGUACCUCGCCACCUUCCAUGGCUCUACUUCCUGCCCGGCAUGGAAACUUAACUGGAAAGGCUGGGCCCCCCCGCGAGUGAAGUUCUUCCACUGGCUCGCUAGCUUGGGAUGCUGUUGGACAGCUGAUCGUCUCGCUCGCCGCGGACUGCCGCACCCUCCUCGCUGCCCGCUAUGUGAUCAGAUGCCGGAAUCGAUGAACCACCUGAUCAUGGACUGCCCCUUCACCAAGCAGAUUUGGCACGACAUCCUGUCUUGGCUGCACCUUCCUUGCAGCGCGCCUAAUGGUGAAAACUCCCUGUCGACCUGGUGGCACACGGCGCGGCAGACCACGCCCAAGCUGAUGCGCAAAGGACUUACAUCCGCGACGCUGCUGAUCCCUUGGAUGACCUGGAAGCAUCGCAACGAUUGUGUCUUCAAUGCGGCCACCCCUUCGACUAGCGUCUUGGUUGCAAAGAUCAAAGAAGAAGCUGCGCUCUGGGCGACCGCGGGUGCUCGAGGCCUGCGUGUCAUCCUCCCACAGACCUGGGAUGUCCACUGA